rnacentral:rRNA from 1 species
CUAGGAUUAGAUACCCUAUUAUUUAAAAUGUAAAUUUUUGACUAAGGUAGUAGUAGCUAUGUUCUUGAAACUUAAAAAAUUUGGCGGUAUUUUAGUCUAUUCAGAGGAACCUGUUCUGUAAUCGAUAAUCCACGUUGUACCUUACUUAAACUUGUAAUUAGUUUAUAUACCGUCGUUAUUAGAAUAUUUUAUAAGAAUAAUAAUUUUCAAGUAGUUGUUUUAGACUUUAUAUCAGAUCAAGGUGUAGCUUAUGUUUAAGUAGAAAUGGGUUACAAUAAAUUUAUUUAUAUGAAUUUAAUUUUGCAAUAAUUAAUGAAGGUGGAUUUGAUAGUAAAAUUUUAAAGAUUAUUAAUUUGAUUUUGGCUCUAAAAUAUGCACACAUCGCCCGUCGCUCUUAUUAUUAAGGUAAGAUAAGUCGUAACAA